UCGGCGCAUGCGCGGGGCGGUGGGUCCAGGCGGCGAUGGCGGCGCGGGGCUGAUGGCGGCGGCGGAGGCGGCGCUGCGCUGAGGGAGCGGUCCCGCCCGGCCCGCCAUGGGCAACGAGGCCAGCCUGGAGGGCGGCGGCGAGGACGGGCAGCUCCCGCCCGCCGCCGCCGCCGCCGCCGGGGCCCCGCCGCCGCCAGCAGCAGCAGCCGCCGCCGCCUUCUCCAAGCCGCCUUCAGCACCAGGCGGCGGCGGACAGCUCCCGGGCAGCGCUGCCGGGCCCGGGCCCAGCACGCCCAGGAGACCGGAGCAGCUGGAUCAGGCUGCGGGACAGCGCUCAGCGUCCCCCUCCCUCUCCCAGACUGCACCCAGCUCCCAGAGCCCGCGGGAGAUGAGGGGCCGCGGCCAGCCCGGGCCACCAGCAGAGGGACCACGGAAGAUGCUGCAGGUAGACGCCAGGAGCCAAGGCUCGGGGAGGUCCCCGUCAGUGUCACCAGACCGGGGCAGCACUCCCACCUCUCCCUACUCGGUCCCACAGAUCGCGCCGCUCCCCAGCAGCACGCUGUGCCCCAUUUGCAAGACCACGGAGCUCACCUCAUCCCCCGGCCAGCCCAACUUCAAUGCCUGCACCCAGUGUCACAGCAAAGUCUGCAAUCAGUGUGGCUUCAACCCCAAUCCGCAUCUCACCCAGGUGAAGGAAUGGUUGUGCUUGAACUGCCAGAUGCAGCGGGCUCUGGGGAUGGACAUGACCACCGCUCCUCGCUCCAAGAGCCAGCAACAGCUUCACUCUCCUUCACCAUCCCCCUCCCACUCCCCAGCCAAGCACCCAACGCCCUCAGCUGUGGAUAAGUCCCCAUCAGCCACCCGCACCCUGCCGCCCGAGCCACCCAAACCUCAACCCACUACCCCGCAGAGGGAACCGCACGGCCCAGGCCAGCCAAAACCUCAGGAGGCGGCCAGGUCCUCUCCGCAGCAUCAGCAAGCCAAGCCUUCCUCCUCUGAGCAGAGAAAGAUGGCAGGAGAUGUGGGGGCAAAGCCAGCCGCCCCAGGCCCUGGGGCUGGAGCACCAGAGCAGCCCCAGGAGGGGCUCACAGGGAAGCUCUUUGGCUUUGGGGCGUCCCUCCUGACCCAGGCGAGCACGCUCAUGUCCGUCCAGCCAGAAGCACCCCCUCCAAGCCAGCCGUCUCCUGGCAAAGUGCCUCCAAAGAUCGUGUUCAGUGAUGCCAGCAAAGAAGCUGGCCCCAAAGCCCCGGGGGCACAGGGCCGGGCUGGUGCCACGCCGGCGGCGAAGCCGGGCAAGCCGGAGCAGGGCGGCAAGCCAAAGGAAGUGCCGAAAGCAAAGGUCUCGUGCCCCCUCUGCAAAGCGGAGAUCAACGUGGGCUCCGGAGAGCCCCCCAACUACAACACCUGCACAACCUGCCGGCAGCAGGUCUGCAACAUGUGUGGCUUCAACCCCACACCUCACCUGGUGGAGAAGAACGAAUGGCUGUGCUUGAACUGCCAAACUCAGCGCCUGCUUGAAGGCAGCCUCGGUGACCCUGCCCCGAUGCCGAUGCCUACCCCAAAGCAAACGCCCACCAGCUCCCCGCAGCACCGGCCGCCAGCCGCUGGCCCGCAGCAGAGAGCACCUGCGCCGGCAGCCGCCGAGCCGACGGCACCCCCCGAGCGGCAGCCCUCACCUGCAAAGACCCUGCGGGCUGCUGAGCAGAGCAGGACCCCAAGCCCUGCCCCAGCCGAGAAGAAGCCCCCCGCACCAGCCGAGAAGAAGCCCCCACCGCCAGCCGAGAAGAAACCCCCGCCGCCAGCCGAGAAGAAGCCCCCAUUGUCAGCCGAGAAGAAGCCCCCACUGCCAGCUGAGGAAAAGCCACUGCCCAAAGCUGUUCUGGAGCCUUCCCAAGCUCCUGAGAGCACUGCAUCAAAGGGGAAGAGCAUAACUCCCAAACCAGAGGUGGAGAGCAAGGAGAGUCGGGCUCUCCACGAGGCACCACGGGCCAAGGAGCAGGAGGAUGGGAGCAAGCCUUACCCCCCGGACCUGUCCCGCAGCCCCCAGAGCCUGAGUGACACUGGCUACUCUUCUGACGGCAUUUCCAGCUCGCAGAGCGAGAUCACCGGCCUGGUGCAGCAGGAGGAAGAGAAGCUGAGCGGCACUGGGUUGGCCGGGCAGAGCCCCCCCAGCCCCUCCGAGCUGACCAAGCUGGAAAGCAGCAUGCGGCCCCUUCUAGAAGGCCGGGGGACCCCACCAGAGCCCACUGAGCGUGGCAAAGGCUCCACAGAGCCGCGGGAGGAGCAGCGGCAAAGGCAGCGGCCCCGGUACCUCUCCAUCGCCCCCGAUGCCUUUGACUCUGAUGAGGAGCUAGAGGACAUCCUGGAGGAGGAUGAGGACUCGAUGGAUUGGGAGAGCCGGCGGGAGCGGCGGGAGAGCGCAGAGUCCUCGGACGAGUUUGGCAGCAAGCUGCGGCACGACUACGUGGAGGACAGCAGUGAGGGAGGCUUCUCGCCGGUGCCCCCGCGGCCCAAGGGCCGGGAGGUGGAGGUGAGCGAUGAGGAGUUCAUGCGGAGGCAGAUCCUGGAGAUGAGCGCGGAGGAAGACAACCUGGAGGAGGAGGAGGAAGGGUACGGGCGUGCCAAGUACAGCAUCCCCAAAACUGGGCAGAAGGCUGAGGCAGAGAAGGGCAAAGAGCCGGCAUCGGCCAAGCGGCGCCUGCCACAUGGUGCCAGCAGCAUGUACACGGAGGAGAGGAAGGAGGUGGAGGCGGCAGAGGGCGAUGACUUGAGCACAGCCCAGGGUGGUCUACGGCGCUUCAAGACCAUUGAGCUGAACAGCACAACUGGCUAUGGCCGAGAGAUGGAGGUGGGCCAGGAGGCAGACACCAGCAUGGACCGGGAGCCCGAGUUGGAGAUGGAGAGCCUGACAGGUUCUCCAGAGGAGCGCUCCCGGGGCGAGUACUCCUCCACUCUGCCGGCCACAACACCCAGCUACACCUCAGGCACCUCGCCCACAUCCAUCUCCUCCCUGGAGGAGGACAGCGACAGCAGUCCCAGCCGCCGGCAGCGGCUAGAGGAGGUGAAGCAGCAGAGGAAGGCUCGCCACCGCUCACAUGGCCCCUUGCUGCCCACUAUUGAGGACUCGUCUGAGGAGGAGGAGCUGCGGGAGGAAGAGGAGCUGCUGCGGGAGCAGGAGAAGAUGCGGGAGGUAGAGCAGCAGCGCAUCCGGAGUACAGCACGCAAGACCAAGCGUGACAAGGAGGAGCUGAGAGCUCAGCGGAGGAGGGAGCGCUCCAAAACCCCCCCCAGCAACCUCUCCCCCAUUGAGGACGCCUCCCCUACUGAGGAGCUGCGGCAGGCAGCAGAGAUGGAGGAGCUGCACCGCUCAUCCUGCUCUGAAUACUCACCCUCCAUCGACUCAGAAGCUGAGAGCUUUGACGCCGUGACCUCCAAGCUGUACAAAUCAGGCAGCGAGUACAACCUGCCCACCUUCAUGUCACUGUACUCCCCAACAGAGAAGGCAGAAAGCAGCCCCAGCCAGCCUGCCAGCAAGCCCCUCAAGAGUGCUGAGGAAGCUUACGAAGAGAUGAUGAGGAAGGCAGAGAUGAUGCAGAAGCAGCAGGUCCAGCAGGCCCAGCCAGCUGUUUCCUACAGCAGCACCUACCAGCAGGUCGGCUACCGUGGCACCGGGGGCCAGAAUGGCUUUGAGUACCAGUAUGCAGAGGAGUACCAGUAUGGCGGCGGCUCCUCACGCCCCUCCCAGCCCAGCUAUCCCAGCGCUCUGCCAAAGGUGGGGGCGGUGUAUGAGGAGAUUCUGCAGACCUCGCAGAGCAUCUCCAGGAUGCACCAAUCCUCCUCCUUUGACCUGGCCCUUGAACAGGGCGAGAAGGCGAAGGGGCAGGAGGAGGCGUACCCGGAGAAGCACUUCCUCAACACCGAGAGCGCCUAUGCUGACCUGAUGAAGCAGAACGGUGGUCCCCUCACCCCUGGCACCAGCCCUACACAGCUCUCCGCUCCUGUCUCCUUUUCCACCUCUGACAGCAGCACAGCCAAGGCCAUUCCUGAUGUCCGGGUCACACAGCAUUUUGCAAAAGAAGGGCAAGACCUAGCCAAGCCCCAGAGCACGCCGGCCACGCCCAGCCCAGUGUCCAAGGCUGCCACCACUCCUUACACCUACAGCAAAGGUACCAGCACAGUGACAACAGCAGCAAGUGGCCCUGGGAGUGUGCCACGGAGCUACAGCUCCCCAGUUCCAGAGGCCACAUCAGUAGCCAGCAGAAGCUACACUCCAGUGAAGAGCACUGUCAGCUAUGGCUCUCAGACAGAGGACACCAGCAGAAGCAAGGCGGUUGCAGAGAUCAGUGUGCAGACAGCCAGGGAGAAGCUCCCAGCAGCGAGUGACAGCAAGCCCCCAGCACCCAGGACAUACUCCUUCUUCAAGAGCUCCAGCCCUCCGCUCUCCCCCACCUCCCCCACGCAGAGUCCCACCCGAGCCUUAAAGGCCACCGCAGAGUUUUCCACACAGACACAGAGUCCCCUUCUUCCCUAUGAAGGUCUCUCUGCUGCCACUACCAGCCCUGCCACCUCUUCCCCCAUGGUGGCACAGGGAACGCAGACACCACACCGGUCAGGCUCACCACGUCUGACUCGACAGGCCUCCUCGCAGGAUCACCCCUUCAUGGUGAUCACUCUGGCAGCCGAUGCGGCCAGUCAGACCAAACCAGUCAGCUCUGGCUCCCUGACAUCCCCCACCUCGUCCCCCACCAGGCCGAGCCGGCAGCUGCCAGGACACAGCUACAGCCAGACACCAGAGCAGGAGCAGCCACCAAGUGCCUACAUCAGGGCACAGUCAGUGAAGGAGCAUGCCCAGAAGGCACCUGCUGUGACUUCUGCUGCCGAUGGCAUCGCAGGGCUGUAUAGCUGGGGAGCACUCCCUGCGGAAAACAUCUCCCUCUGCCGCAUCUCCUCUAUCCCUGGCACAUCUCGGGUCGAGCCGGGGCCCAAGGUGCCAAGCACUAAUGCUGUGGACUUACGGACUGCACUGAAGUCUGCCCCCAUCAUCAUAACAGACCAAGGCAUGGAUCUCACCUCCUUGGCCACUGAGGCCAGGAAGUACUGCCUGACCUUGGACCACAUCCCAAGUCGGCAAUCCACAGCCAUCCAGCCCUUGAUCAUCAACCUCAACGCCCAAGAGCAGCCCCAUGCCAUCAUCGCUGCAGCCAGCACUGCUGGCCUGGCCAUAGCCUCUCCCAUGAUCCUCUCACAGUCCAAGCAGCCUGUGGUCUAUGGAGACCCUUUCCAGAGCCGGAUGGACUUUGGGCAGGGGACCGGGAGCCCCGUGUGCUUGGCGCAGGUGAAGCAGGUGGAGCAGGGUGUCCAGACAGCUGCUGUCAGAGCCAGUGGGGCAGCUGGCAGCAAGCCUGAGCCCACUGCAGCCCCUCAGAGCAAGUUCGCGAGGUACAGCAUGCCAGGGCAGAUGGUGAAGAAGGAUGUGCUCAUGGCACAGGCCGGUGGGACGCAAAACAUCGGCGGCCUCCCGCAGACCUUCCCACCGGAGCCUGCCCCAGAGUUGUACCGGGCAGUGCCAGUGGAGCUGAAGAGCCAGAGCCCUCUCCUCGCCCUGGGAGGCAAGAAGUCCCAGGUGAUGAUGGUGCAGAUGGAGGAGGAGGCAGCUGGUCCAGUGACCAAAGUGCUGAAGGAAGAGCCACCAGCCAACGUGCUGGACCUCACCGGCGUGAAGCCAGAGAGCCAGGUGGCCUGUUGUGACAUGGUCUACAAGUUCCCCUUUGGCGGCAGCUGCACUGGUGCUUUCAACCCCACUUCCAAGAUGCCAGAGAAGAAAGCUGGGGAGGCAGUGGCCCCUGUCCGGAAAGCCAGUGCCCCCCUCUAUGGCAGCAGAGAACCAGAGCUGCCAGACGCUUUCCCUUACCGGGAGCAGCCAGCCCCAGCACCUCCACUCUAUGAGGAACAGAAGUUUUACCCAACUGGCAACUUUGGGCGCCUCUACUCCUCUAUGUCAGACACAAACCUCUCUGAAAUUGGGAUGAGCUACUACCCCAUGAAGGUGGAUCAGCCCUUCCACUCCCCGGCAGGUGAUGCUGCUGUGGACCUCAGCACCAUGAAGCACUCCUACAGUGUGGGUUUCGCUGAGGGGGGUUACCUGGGCCAGGGGCUGCAGUAUGGCUCCUUCUCUGACCUUCGUCAGCCAGCAGACAUGCUGGGCCACCCACUUCCCAUGCGGAGGUACAGCUCAGUCUCCAACAUUUACUCUGACUACCGCUUCUCACCCCGGGGGGAUCUGGCCAGCUUCCAGGAGUCCAGCCUGGCCCACUACAGUGCCACCACGGCACGCGAGAUCAGUCGCAUGUGUGCUGCUCUCAACUCCAUGGACCAGUAUGGGGGCCGGCACACCAAUGGCCCUGACAUGCUGCCCUAUGGCCCCGGUGCUGGGCCAGGGGGCACAGGAGGGCUGGCAGCUCAGCAGCAGGGUCCUACACCCCCCAAACCCAGCGGUAUGUACAACCCAACCUUCCCCGAGCCACGGCAGGGCUUUGGCAGCCUGGCACAGUACAACGUCCCUGGUGUUCGCCUAGGCACCGUCCGGCAGAUGUUCCCUUCCACCGCCACCGUGCGAGCCGCCGAUGGCAUGAUCUACUCCACCAUCAACACACCCAUCGCCUCCACGCUGCCCAUCACCACCCAGCCAGCCUCAGUUCUGCGGCCCAUGCUGCGUGGUCUCUACAGACCCUAUGGCCCUGGUGGCGUGGCAGCCGUCCCACUGGCCAGCUUGACCAGGCUGCCAGUUGUCACCCCACGUGUCCCGCUGGCGGCACAGGGCCUCUACCGCUACCCAGCCCCCAGCCGGCCAGCCCCAGCAGCCUCUUUGAUGGAGACACCUGUCUACCUUGGCAAGCCUGUCAGCACUGCAGCAGGAGCCGCGGGUGCUGUCCCUGCUCCCAAAGCCCCCACUGCACCCACCAGUGGCUUGCAGAGAGCAGAACCAGCAGGAGCUGGUCCUCGUGCUGAGGGGACGGUGGCAUCAGCAGCACCUGCAGUGGCCAGCAAGGAGGGUGGGCAAGCAGCCACGGUGCCCAAGGCAUCACUGGAAGGGACUCAGAGGGAGGAGCGGGAGAGGGAAGAGGAACGGCAGCGCAAGCAGCAGGAGCAUGUGCUGCAGCUGGAGCGGGAGCGCGUGGAGCUAGAGAAGCUGCGGCAAAUGCGGCUCCAGGAGGAGCUGGAACGGGAGCGCGCGGAGCUGCAGCGGCAUCGGGAGAAGGAGCAGCUGUUGGUGCAGCGGGAGCUGCAGGAGCUGCAGUGCAUCAAGCAGCAGGUGCUGCAGCAGCAGCAAGAGGAACGGCAUGCGCAGCUGGCCCUGCAGCGGGAGCAGCUCGCCCAGCAGCGCCUCCAACUCGAGCACAUCCACCAGCUCCAGCACCAACUGCAGCAGCAGCUGGAGGAGCAAAAGCGGCAGAAAAACAUCUUCCCUGUGCCAGCUGAGCCCACCACCCGCCUGCCCGAGGGUCCUGCUGAGGUGCCACGGGGCGUGCCACACAAUGGGCAGGCAUGGCCGCCACCAAGCCAGGUGCCCCCAGAGGGGCCAGCUGGCCCUCGCUACCCCAUGCCGCAGCGGCCACUCAGCAGCUCAGCCUCGGACAUGUCACUGCAAGUUGAGGAGUCCUGGGAGCCUGGUCGGGGCAUCAAGAAGAGGAACUCAAUGCCACGGCUGCGGGAUGCCUACGAGAAAGAAGCAACACGAGAGGCCUUUGCAGCAAGGAAGACAGCGGACAGCAGUGUGCAGACAGAUGAGGAGGAUGGGGAGGAGCGGUACCUGCUGUCACGGCGGCGGCGGGCACGGCGCAGCACAGACUGCAGUGUGCAGACGGACGAGGAGGACAGCGGAGAGUGGGAGCAGCCUGUGCGCCGACGGCGAUCCCGGGCCUCAAGGCAUGCUGACUCUGGCACCGAGAGCAAGGCAGAGGGAGCGGCCCGUGGCACAGCCAGUGUGGGCAUUCAGACCAUCAGUGACUGCUCAGUGCAGACAGAGCCUGACCAGCUCCUCCGUGUCUCCCCCUCCAUCCACAUCACCACCCAUGAUCCCCGGGUGGAGAUCGUGAAGUACAUCUCGGCCCCAGAAAAAACACAGCGUGGCGAGAGCCUGGCCUGCCAGACAGAGCCAGAGCCAGCUCCCCAGCCUGGCGUUGUGGUCCCCCAGCUGACAGUCCCCACCACCAUCCCACCCUAUUCCACCAACAUCCAGAUGGUGAGCACUGGCCCCUUGGACCCUCACACUGUCCGGCAGCAGACUCUGGGCAAGUUUGAGAAGAAGAAACCAGAUCCCCUGGAAAUUGGCUACCAGUCCCAUUUGCCUGCUGAGUCCCUCUCCCAGCUGGUGACCCGCCAGCCACCCCGCUCUCCCCAGGUGCUCUACUCACCUGUCUCCCCGCUGUCCCCUCACCGCCUCCUCGAGUCCUCUUUUGCCACCAGUGAACGGCUGAACAAGGCUCACGUUCCCCCACAGAAGCACUUCACUGCUGACUCGGCCCAACGCCAGCAGACGCUGCCACGCCCCAUCAAGACCAUGCAGCGCUCCCUCUCCGACCCCAAGCCCAUCAGCCCCACUGCCGAGGAGGCCAGCAAGGACAGAUUCUCCCUCUACCAGCACUCGCUGCUCCCUGGCACCCAGGUGGCGGGGCUGCAGUCAAGCCCACUAGCACGCAAGGUGAAGCGGACGCUGCCCAGCCCGCCACCCGAGGAGCCCCAUGUUCCCCUGGCCAGCCCAGCCACCUCCCAGCUCUACCUGAGCAGCCUGGCCACCAAGGCCACUGCACCAGUCACCAAGGCCAGCCUGCUGAAGGAGCUAGACCGUGACCUGAGGCUGGUGGAGCACGAGGCCACCAAGCUGCGGAAGAAGCAGGCGGAGCUGGACGAGGAAGAGAAGGAGAUAGAUGCAAAGCUGAAGUACCUGGAGCUGGGCAUCACCCAGCGCAAGGAGUCACUGCUGAAGGAUCGGGGUGGUCCACGGGACCACCCUUACCUGCACUUCCCUGGGGACCGCCGCGACUACCUGUCCGACAGCGAGCUGCACAGCCUGCGUCUCGCCACCUAUGACAGCACUGGCCUGCGCCCCACACCCGCUGGGCAGUACCCUGACUUUGCCUCCACCCCUGCCUCGUACAAUGCCUACCCAUACCCCACUCCACAGGGCCCUGCUGGCUUCCCACAGGCGCGUCUGCAGCCUCCCCAGUACCCCACAGCCAGCACCACACAGGAUGAAUUGCAGGCAACCCCAAUGCCCACCUUUGCCUCACCCGCCGCCUUCCCGGCCCCCGGCACUGCAUACUCAGAGCUGGGCACCCCAGGCCAGCCAGGCUUCCGGCCCCAAAACUCCUACCAAGCCCCGAGCGCCUUUUCUGGGGCAGCCACUGCACCGGCAGCGCAGCCGACCCUCUACCAGAGCCCUGCAGACAUAGCUGGUGGGCACCAGAAGCCACGGCAGACAUCCCUGGCUGACCUGGAGCAGAAGAUCCCCACUAACUAUGAGGUGAUUGGCGCAGCUACCAGCACCUCUGCUGUUCCCGAUGUCACCUUCAGCACCGCACCGGUGAGUGGCAGCUACGAGCAGUACAAAGCACCUGAAGCCCGGCCAGGUGAGAGGGCCAGCUUGGUGCAGGGCCCCUCGGCCAGCUUCCCUUCUGAGUCCCUCUACACCAGCCUGGAGCAGAACAUCCCUCGUAACUACGUGAUGAUAGAAGAUAUCAGUGAGCUCACCAAGGAGAGCCCAGCAGUGGAGGGGCAGAAAGGGGAGCCAGUGGGCACAGGUGCUGACAGCCGCCAUGGCAGGGAGAAGACUGAGCUGGGGGAUGCUGAGAGCUCCAGCCGGCCCUGCUGCUACACCAAAGCUGAGGAGGAGUCUGAGGAGGACAUCUAUGAUCACCAUGGCUCCGACUAUAGAGGGAAGAACAGCUACCACAGGGGCAUGGAGAGCAAUGGCAGAGUGUCAGGGAGCUCCACCAGCUCAUCCUACUACUAUGGGGACAGUGAGUACCGGCACUCCUCACGGGUGGACAAGCAUGGCCCUGGUGCACCACUACCAAAGCAUUCAUCCAAGAACCUGGCCCCUGCUGUUGUCUCCUCAAAGCGCAGCAAGCACAGGAAGCAGGGCAUGGAGCAGAAGAUCUCCAAGUUCUCCCCCAUUGAAGAAGCCAAAGAUGUGGAAUCAGACUUGGCCUCCUACGCAGUGACAACCUCAGUUGGAAGCAGCAACGUGGCCUCCAGGGCCAAGAAGAUGCAGGACGAGAUCACCUAUGGCCUGAAGAAGAAUGUCUAUGAGCAGCAGAAGUACUAUGGUGUCUCCAGCCGGGAUCUGGUGGACGAGGAGGAGCGGGUCUACUCUGCCAGCAGCAGAACCCGCUCCUCUGGCUAUGGGGUGGAGAAAUCCUCCAGCAGGGAGGUGGGCAGCAGGAGCAAGUCCUACGAGCGGGAGGGUAUGGAGCGCUCCCAGAAAGGCAGCUCCAAGCCCUCAUCCCUCAGCAUGAGCCAGAGCCGCGGGCGACCACCCAUCCGCACACAGCACUCGGAGGAGGAGAGCCCUGUCAGCCCCCUGGGGAAGUCAGUGGGUGGGUCACGCACUGCAGGGGGACCGGGCCCCCAAUCAGCGGGGGAUCCCUGCUCCCCAUUCUGCUCCAGCCACUCGUUGCCUGAUGUGCAAAAGCACAUCAAAGACGUGCCAAGGAGUCACUCGUACAAGCACGAGGAGGGCUACGGCAUGGACGAUGCCCAUUGCGUUGUCUCGGACAGUGAAGCCUAUCAUUUGGGUCAGGAGGAGACAGACUGGUUUGAUAAGCCCAGAGAGGCACGGGCGGAGAGGGUCAGGCACUACAGUGGCCACUCUUCCUCGCAGAAGAGACCCCCGGUUAAGCACACCUACCAUGACUACGACGAGCCCCCCGACGAGGACACGUGGCAGCACGAUGACUACCCCCAGCACCGUGAGCACCGCCACCACGGGGAGUAUGGGCGCCACACCGGCAGCUCCCGGCAUGCCAGCGACGAGCCCCCACGCCGCUCGGCCAAGCAGCACUCGCGAGAGCCUGGCCGCCACGAACCCCGAGGCCAUGAGCCCCGCUCUGCCCCCAAGAAGGCACAGCAGCCUGAGUCCCGUGCACCUGCCCCCUAUGGCCCCAGCUCUGCCGAGUAUGGCCCACCAGCCCGCACCGGUGCUCACCACCACGGUGCUGAGGCCCCCAAGACACAGAAGCCUUCCCAGCCGCAUGGGGCGGCUACCCCAGCACCGAAGCCAGAGCCCCUUGCACACCCACAGCAGCCAGCGGCCAGGCAGCAGCAGGCGGGGCAGCAGGCGGCACGGCAGCAGCCGGCGGCACGGCAGCCUGCCCAGCCAGCGGGCUCGGCACAGCCUGAGGCCAGGGGCAGGACACAGGGACCUCCGUCAUCUCGACCACCGCAGCAGCAGCAGCCAGGGCCAGCCCAGGCAGCAGGGAAGGCACCGGCCACGCACCAUGCACAGCCAGCGGGACAUCCAUCGCCAGCACCAAAAGCAGAGCAGAUGGACACAUCCAAACCUGCAGCUAAAGUGCCACAGCAGCCAGGGAGAGCACCCACAGCACAGCCUCUGGGAGCAGCAGCAGACAGCAAAGCUGGUCCAAGAGUGGCCGGGCCACGUGGUCCAGCCAGCAUGGCCACAGGGCAGCCUGGGGCAGAAGGAGAGAGUGUCUUCUCCAAAAUCCUGCCGGGAGGGGCAGCGGAACAAGCAGGCAAACUGACUGAAGCGGUGUCAGCUUUCGGCAAGAAGUUCACUUCGUUCUGGUGAGAGAACAGCACAAGGAGUUUGGGAAGUGAGUUGGAGAUCGAGUCGUUGCAGUGGAAAAACCUAUGAAGAAGCCAGUGAAUUCAGCAUGCAGCACCAGACUCUGAGUAUAACACUUUUGAAAGCAGGGCGAUCCCCGGAUGUUGGACCAAAUGGCGGUCAAGCAGGGGCCCGGCGGACGCCCCGGGGCAGGUGCCCCCCAUGCCUGGCAAGCAGCUCCGUUGUGGCACACGGCGAGCCCCAGCAGCCACCCCGAGGGAACAGGCCUGAUCCGGACCGUUGGGUCAGGCCCUGUAGGCGGGCCAUGGCCCUUUCUCAAGAUUAUACGCAGAGUUGCUCCCUCCGAACCCCAGCUCUUGCCUCUUCAUAGGUUUUUCCCCCCUGCUGUGAGCUGAGGGCUGGGCGCCGCGGGCGCCUUUCCUCCUUCCCAAUCCCAUCUGCCCUGCCAGGGCCAUCCCCGUGCCCUCUACACCGCAGCCCGCUCCCGGCCCUGCCGGGGAGCCCCCGGAGCGUGUCAGCUAGGACCUAACACUGUUUCACUACCGAAAUACGAGGCCAUAGGACUCUGACAGGCGGCGCGGCCGGCCUUUGUCGACGCUUUGCCGGCUGGGUGCGCAUCCCAAAGCCAUUGGAAGUAUUGAAAGGGCCGCGCCUGCCCUCGCCGUGCAGCCGCCAGGCACCCCUUUUCUUUCAAGAACAGCCUUAAUCAUCCCACUUUGAUUUCUGUGUAUACCUCAUCCGCACUGGGGGGGGCACGGGGCGUCGUCGGGGGGGGGGUCCUUUUUUCUUGGUUUCUUUGGAUUCAUUUUAUUUUGGUUUUGGGAUUUCUUUUUUUUUUUUCUAAACUUUAUACCAAAUCCUCUUCCCUCUUUGCUUUGUGCGAUGAGUUAGCACACACGGGCUGUCGUCUGUAGAAGCAAUAGAGUGCAGGAGGCUACAAAAGAGCACAAAUCCCGUGGAACAAGAUCAGGAGAGCUUUGCCUCCAGCAGUAUCCUUCCUCUUACUGUGCAAUCCAAGUCCUUCUCAAGCCAUUUCGUGGGGACAUGGGGACGGCCAGCAUGGUAGCUGGAGGCCUAAGCCCACUCGCCCUGCUCGGAGGGGAUUCGCCGGGAUGGGGGGGGGCGAAGGCAGCCCGAGGAGGGGGCUCGUCAGCGUACAGCCGCGUGCCACCUGCACCCCGCCACUUCCCUGCACUGGCGGCAUCCCCCCCAGUGCCCUCCACGGCGGGUGGCAGCCGCCCGCUCACCCGCCCGAUGUUCUAUGCAACGAAAUAACACGACUCCAGAACAAGACCUGUGAAUAGCUAAUCAGUUCAAUGUGGCGCCUAAGGGUUCCAUCGCAAAGCGUGCUGCCGAGCGACCCGACAACUACUCUCUAUCAACCACCCGUGCGUAUGAAUUCGUGGCAUGUUCGACCCACGGAGGGCCACUUUGCCAAAGGGCAGCCCUAGUGCCCAUGACCGUCUGUCCCGUCGUAGAGCAUGGCUUGCUACUUCUCUGCACGGUUCCACCUGCCUUUCAGUGCUUGCUGUUCUUUGCCUGGACUUUUUCUGUUAUUUUUUCUUUUCCAUCAGUCCAUCGCUGUACUGAAAGCCCUUAGCAGAUUGAUGCACUUGUUCUUGAGGACCCGGCUGCCGUCGGGAGCCCACGCUCUCCAGCAGGUUCCUCACGAGAGGCUCUGCCUGUGCCCAAGGCUAGGGGACAGGCCAGUGGCCAUGGGACAGGGGGGAGCACGGCGCUUCCGCAGGACAGCCCCACAGAAGAGAGCCCUGACUCUGCGCACACCCGCCGGCCCUCCCCACCCGUGACAAGUGCAUAGCCUGAGUGUGCCUCCCCCGGGCCCCCGCCGCUCCUCGCGCUGUAAAUACUUGUACAGUGUGUAAAUUGCACGCGGGACCAAGACCCCCGCCGGGGCCCAGCUCGCUGCCCAAGCACAUCUGCCACCUUGCCUUCGCACCCACUGGGACCAGAGGCCUGUCGCCCACCCCGCCAGGCCAGGCCCUCAGCCCAGAUCAAGGCGGUCUGCUGUCCGGGGCAGCGGGGCGCAGAGGGUGCGAAGGCAAAGGGCUGCACAUGGCUGGGCGCUGUUUCCAGUGGUAAGUGCGAUGCCGGGUGCGCUCCCUCUGAACAUUGUGACGGUGUGCGUGUCUGCUGUGCUCUGUGCCACCUGUAGUGACCCUGUACUGUGCCGUACUGUGCCGUACCGUGCCGUACCACCCCUGCCGCUGUGUCGUGACUCCCUCCCAGAAGCUGCCCCCUCACCAGGUGUUUCUGUGGGAACAGAAUAAAAAGGACUUGAC